AGGUAAAUGGGUGUCUUGGGGUCUUCUGCAGCGCCACUGGCUUCACCACCCGGUCAGACAUCGGGCCUGCCCGGGAUGCCAACGAUCCUGUGGAUGACCGCCACGCGCCGCCGGGCAAGAGGACCGUCGGGGACCAGAUGAAGAAGAGCCAGGCUGCGGAUGACGAUGAUGAGGAUCUGAAUGACACCAACUACGAUGAGUUUAAUGGCUAUGCAGGGAGCCUCUUCUCAAGUGGGCCCUACGAAAAGGAUGACGAGGAAGCGGAUGCUAUUUAUGCAGCUCUGGAUAAAAGGAUGGACGAAAGAAGAAAAGAAAGAAGGGUGGAAUCUGGGUGUGGC